UACGUAGGGGGCAAGCGUUGUCCGGAAUCAUUGGGCGUAAAGCGCGUGUAGGCGGCUCGAUAAGUCUGCUGUGAAAGUCCAAGGCUCAACCUUGGGAUGCCGGUGGAUACUGUCGAGCUCGAGUCCGGAAGAGGCGAGUGGAAUUCCUGGUGUAGCGGUGAAAUGCGCAGAUAUCAGGAGGAACACCAAUUGCGAAGGCAGCUCGCUGGGACGUUACUGACGCUGAGACGCGAAAGCGUGGGGAGCAAACAGG
rnacentral:rRNA from 1 species